rnacentral:lncRNA from 1 species
GGACAGAAUCCGGCGCCCUGACCGGGACUAGAACCCGGUGUGCUGGCGCCGCAAGACGGAGGAUUAGCCUAGUGAGCCGUGGUGCUGGCCAAAAGUGCAUGGUUUUUGAAAAAUAAAUAAUAAACCCUUUUAUGUAUUUAUUUUUUAAAAAAAGAUUAUUUGAACAGCAAAGUGACAGAGGGGGAGGGAGAGGGGGAAAUGAGAGAGAGAGAGAGAGAGAGAGAGAGAGUCCAUUAAUUCAUUUGUUCACUCCCCAAAUGCCUGCAACAGCCAGGGCUGGGCCAGGCCUAAAUCACAGUUAGGAACUCCUCCUGGGUCUUCAUGUGAGUAGCAGGAACUCACGUAGUUGAGUCAUCAUCUGCUGCCUCCCCAGGUGCAUCAGCAGGAAGUGGGCCUGGAAGUAGAGUAGCCAGGACUCCAACCCAGCGUUCCAUGUGGGAUGCAGGAGCCCCAAAGUGGUAGCUUAACCCACUGCACCACAACUCGCACCCCAUUCUUCACCUACUUCUGGUGUAUUAUCUAGUAUUGUCCCUACGCCUCCCAUCCUCCUAAUAUAAUGAUGCGACUACAUUUAUCACGAGCAAAUGUUGUUCACCGAAGAACCAAAACAUGUACUUUAAUUAUACUUCUUUUGUUGAAAAAUUUCCUUCUCUCCUACUCCUCAGUAUUCCUGAUUAAUUGCCAUAUUGUCUUCUCCUCUCCAUUUUUAGGUGUACUGCUUGACUUUCUGGUCUACCCUGUUCUCAAGUGUGUCUUCAUAUCAUUUACUCUCACCAGAUCCACUUUUCCUGCGCCCCUGGAGCUUUCCAAGUUGAGCAUUGUUUCCUACUGCACAAGGAUUCUUCCCACUUCAGAAUUGCAGCUACGACACUGUAUUGUCUUUUCAGCAGCAGCUUCCCUAACCCCGAAGGCUAGGUGCCUGCCAGUGCCCUGAUGUCUCUGUCCUUCAGAAAUGUUUGUGGCUGAGGGCAUCCGUGAAUAAAGGCAUAAAUCUGAAUAAGAGUGAAGGAUAA